GACGAAGGGGGCUAGCGUUGUUCGGAAUUACUGGGCGUAAGGCGAGUGUAGGUGGUUGUCCAAGUUGGAUGUGAGAGCCUUGAGCUCAACUCAAGAAAUGCAUUCAGGACUGGGCGGCUAGAGGACCGGAGAGGAUAGUGGAAUUCCCAGUGUAGUGGUGAAAUACGUAGAGAUUGGGAAGAACACCAGUGGCGAAGGCGGCUAUCUGGACGGUUUCUGACACUAAGACUCGAAAGCGUGGGGAGCAAACAGG
rnacentral:rRNA from 1 species